UACAGAGGGUGCAAGCGUUAAUCGGAAUUACUGGGCGUAAAGCGUGUGUAGGUGGUUAGAUAAGUUAGAUGUGAAAUCCCCGGGCUUAACCUGGGCACUGCGUUUAAGACUGUUUAACUAGAGUGCUGUAGAGGAUAGUGGAAUUUCCAGUGUAGCGGUGAAAUGCGUAGAUAUUGGAAGGAACACCAGUGGCGAAGGCGACUAUCUGGACAGACACUGACACUGAGACACGAAAGCGUGGGGAGCAAACAGGAUUAGAUACCCUGGUAGUCCAUGCUGUAAACUAUGAGAACUUGCUGUUGGGUGCAUAAAGGCAUUUAGUAGCGAAGCUAACGCGUUAAGUUCUCCGCCUGGGGAGUACGGCCGCAAGGCUAAA
rnacentral:rRNA from 1 species